rnacentral:rRNA from 1 species
AGCAGCCGCGGUAAUUCCAGCUCCAAUAGCGUAUAUUAAAGUUGUUGCAGUUAAAAAGCUCGUAGUUGAAUUUCGAGACCGGCUUACUGGUCGUGCUUUUGUGCGUACUGGUAUAAUCGGUUUCUCCUUUCUGACGAACUUUAAUGCCAUUAAUUUGGUGUUUUAGGGAAUCAGGACUGUUACUUUGAAAAAAAUUAGAGUGUUUAAAAGCAGGCUCACGCUUGAAUACAUUAGCAUGGAAUAACGGAAUAGGACGUUUGAUUCUAUUUUGUUGGUUUCUAGGAUCGACGUAAUGAUUAAUAGGGAUAGUUGGGGGCAUUAGUAUUCAAUUGUCAGAGGUGAAAAUUCUUGGAUUUAUUGAAGACUAACUACUGCGAAAGCAUUUGCCAAGGAUGUUUUCAUUAAUCAAGAACGAAAGUUAGGGGAUCGAAGACGAUCAGAUACCGUCGUAGUCUUAACCAUAAACUAUGCCGACUAGGGAUCGGAUGAUGUUAAAUUUUUUAAAUGACUCGUUUGGCAC